rfam:Paenibacillus sp. DMB20 gs_5, whole genome shotgun sequence.
GAGGGAAGGCCCCUCGACGGGGAUCGAGUCAGGCGAAUCCGUCAAACAGCCCUAAGCUGCUGCAAUAAAGAGUUGUGGUAGUGAGCGUUUAGGGAAAAGGUUGCCAUAAGCAAUCAUG